AGUGAACGCUGGCGGUAGGCCUAACACAUGCAAGUCGAACGGCAGCACAGUAAGAGCUUGCUCUUACGGGUGGCGAGUGGCGGACGGGUGAGGAAUACAUCGGAAUCUACUUUUUCGUGGGGGAUAACGUAGGGAAACUUACGCUAAUACCGCAUACGACCUACGGGUGAAAGCAGGGGAUCUUCGGACCUUGCGCGAUUGAAUGAGCCGAUGUCGGAGUAGCUAGUUGGCGGGGUAAAGGCCCACCAAGGCGACGAUCCGUAGCUGGUCUGAGAGGAUGAUCCGCCACACUGGAACUGAGACACGGUCCAGACUCCUACGGGAGGCAGCAGUGGGGAAUAUUGGACAAUGGGCGCAAGCCUGAUCCAGCCAUACCGCGUGGGUGAAGAAGGCCUUCGGGUUGUAAAGCCCUUUUGUUGGGAAAGAAAAGCAGCAGGUUAAUACCCCGCUGUUCUGACGGUACCCAAAGAAUAAGCACCGGCUAACUUCGUG
rnacentral:rRNA from 1 species